rnacentral:rRNA from 1 species
CCUACGGGAGGCAGCAGUGGGGGAUAUUGCACAAUGGGGGAAACCCUGAUGCAGCGACGCCGCGUGUGGGAAGACGGUCCUCUGGAUUGUAAACCACUGUCCCCAGGGACGAAGAUGACGGUACCUGGGGCGGAAGCUCCGGCUAACUACGUGCCAGCAGCCGCGGUAAUACGUAGGGAGCGAGCGUUGUCCGGAAUUACUGGGUGUAAAGGGAGCGUAGGCGGGACUGCAAGUUGGGUGUCAAAUCUACCGGCUCAACCGGUAGCCGCACUCAAAACUGCAGUUCUAGAGUGAAGUAGAGGCAGGCGGAAUUCCUAGUGUAGCGGUGAAAUGCGUAGAUAUUAGGAGGAACACCAGUGGCGAAGGCGGCCUGCUGGGCUUUUACUGACGCUGAGGCUCGAAAGUGUGGGGAGCAAACAGGAUUAGAUACCCUUGUAGUC